CAUGACUGCUCCUGAUGUUACGGCGGACGGGUGAGUACACGUGGGUACCUGCCUGUAGACUGGGAUAACUCCGGGAACCGGGGCUAUACCGGAUGCUUGUUUGAACCGCAUGGUUCAGACAUAAAAGGUGGCUUCGGCUACCACUUACAGAUGGACCCGCGGCGCAUUAGCUAGUUGGUGAGGUAACGGCUCACCAAGGCAACGAUGCGUAGCCGACCUGAGAGGGUGAUCGGCCACACUGGGACUGAGACACGGCCCAGACUCCUACGGGAGGCAGCAGUAGGGAAUCUUCCGCAAUGGGACGAAAGUCUGAACGGGAGCAACGCCGCGUGAGUGAUGAAGGUUUUCGGAUCGUAAAGCUCUGUUGUUAGGGAAGAACAAGUGCCGUUCAAAUAGGGCGGCACCUUGACGGUACCUAACCAGAAAGCCACGGCUAACUACGUGCCAGCAGCCGCGGUAAUACGUAGGUGGCAAGCGUGUCAGAUAUUUUAGGGGCCUAAAGGA
rnacentral:rRNA from 1 species